GCCUGAAUCAGUGUGUGUGUUAGUGGAAGCGUCUGGAAAGGCGCGCGAUACAGGGUGACAGCCCCGUACACAAAAAUGCACAUGCUGUGAGCUCGAUGAGUAGGGCGGGACACGUGGUAUCCUGUCUGAAUAUGGGGGGACCAUCCUCCAAGGCUAAAUACUCCUGACNAUGCUGUGAGCUCGAUGAGUAGGGCGGGACACGUGGUAUCCUGUCUGAAUAUGGGGGGACCAUCCUCCAAGGCUAAAUACUCCUGACUGACCGAUAGUGAACCAGUACCGUGAGGGAAAGGCGAAAAGAACCCCGGCGAGGGGAGUGAAAAAGAACCUGAAACCGUGUACGUACAAGCAGUGGGAGCACGCUUAGGCGUGUGACUGCGUACCUUUUGUAUAAUGGGUCAGCGACUUAUAUUCUGUAGCAAGGUUAACCGAAUAGGGGAGCCGAAGGGAAACCGAGUCUUAACUGGGCGUUAAGUUGCAGGGUAUAGACCCGAAACCCGGUGAUCUAGCCAUGGGCAGGUUGAAGGUUGGGUAACACUAACUGGAGGACCGAACCGACUAAUGUUGAAAAAUUAGCGGAUGACUUGUGGCUGGGGGUGAAAGGCCAAUCAAACCGGGAGAUAGCUGGUUCUCCCCGAAAGCUAUUUAGGUAGCGCCUCGUGAAUUCAUCUCCGGGGGUAGAGCACUGUUUCGGCAAGGGGGUCAUCCCGACUUACCAACCCGAUGCAAACUGCGAAUACCGGAGAAUGUUAUCACGGGAGACACACGGCGGGUGCUAACGUCCGUCGUGAAGAGGGAAACAACCCAGACCGCCAGCUAAGGUCCCAAAGUCAUGGUUAAGUGGGAAACGAUGUGGGAAGGCCCAGACAGCCAGGAUGUUGGCUUAGAAGCAGCCAUCAUUUAAAGAAAGCGUAAUAGCUCACUGGUCGAGUCGGCCUGCGCGGAAGAUGUAACGGGGCUAAACCAUGCACCGAAGCUGCGGCAGCGACGCUUAUGCGUUGUUGGGUAGGGGAGCGUUCUGUAAGCCUGUGAAGGUGUACUGUGAGGUAUGCUGGAGGUAUCAGAAGUGCGAAUGCUGACAUAAGUAACGAUAAAGCGGGUGAAAAGCCCGCUCGCCGGAAGACCAAGGGUUCCUGUCCAACGUUAAUCGGGGCAGGGUGAGUCGACCCCUAAGGCGAGGCCGAAAGGCGUAGUCGAUGGGAAACAGGUUAAUAUUCCUGUACUUGGUGUUACUGCGAAGGGGGGACGGAGAAGGCUAUGUUGGCCGGGCGACGGUUGUCCCGGUUUAAGCGUGUAGGCUGGUUUUCCAGGCAAAUCCGGAAAAUCAAGGCUGAGGCGUGAUGACGAGGCACUACGGUGCUGAAGCAACAAAUGCCCUGCUUCCAGGAAAAGCCUCUAAGCAUCAGGUAACAUCAAAUCGUACCCCAAACCGACACAGGUGGUCAGGUAGAGAAUACCAAGGCGCUUGAGAGAACUCGGGUGAAGGAACUAGGCAAAAUGGUGCCGUAACUUCGGGAGAAGGCACGCUGAUAUGUAGGUGAAGUCCCUUGCGGAUGGAGCUGAAAUCAGUCGAAGAUACCAGCUGGCUGCAACUGUUUAUUAAAAACACAGCACUGUGCAAACACGAAAGUGGACGUAUACGGUGUGACGCCUGCCCGGUGCCGGAAGGUUAAUUGAUGGGGUCAGCGCAAGCGAAGCUCUUGAUCGAAGCCCCGGUAAACGGCGGCCGUAACUAUAACGGUCCUAAGGUAGCGAAAUUCCUUGUCGGGUAAGUUCCGACCUGCACGAAUGGCGUAAUGAUGGCCAGGCUGUCUCCACCCGAGACUCAGUGAAAUUGAACUCGCUGUGAAGAUGCAGUGUACCCGCGGCAAGACGGAAAGACCCCGUGAACCUUUACUAUAGCUUGACACUGAACAUUGAGCCUUGAUGUGUAGGAUAGGUGGGAGGCUUUGAAGUGUGGACGCCAGUCUGCAUGGAGCCGACCUUGAAAUACCACCCUUUAAUGUUUGAUGUUCUAACGUGGACCCGUGAUCCGGGUUGCGGACAGUGUCUGGUGGGUAGUUUGACUGGGGCGGUCUCCUCCUAAAGAGUAACGGAGGAGCACGAAGGUUGGCUAAUCCUGGUCGGACAU
rnacentral:rRNA from 1 species